ensembl:lncRNA
CUUGGAGUGAGUCUGGGAGGCAGGGCCACAGUUGUCCCCGUCUCUGCUGCCCCUUCUCCCUGAGAUAGCUGCGUGCAUGUAGCCAAGCAGGUGCCACGAAAGCCUGCGUCCUUGCUGUGUUGACACUUCCCUCCCAAUGGCCUGUUGUCCUGAAGAACUCGUCAGAGACCAAGAGAGAAUGAGGGCAUUCACAUUAGGUAGGGGGCUGUCCAUCUUCAGUGCUUCGUCCUGCUGUAGACAGCUGUCUGAACUGGUCAAGUCAGUUCUCUUUCCAUAUCUGUAAGAUGAUGCAGUCGGAUUAAAUUUGCAACAUUAAAUUCAGCCCUGAAUUACCUUACAAGUAGCAAUAAAAGGCAUAGCGGGAGACAGAAUGGAGAAAUGGGAUAAUUUUUUUUUUUUAAGUUCUUUUAACAUCGGAUAUGACCCAAAGGUAAACAUCACAAUACAUUGUGAAAUCAAAUAUUAAUUACCUUUCUUUCAAAACUGGUGUAGAUAGGCAAGGUUAGGCCACUUGAGAAUCCUUCUGUUGUGACUAUGAUACUUGGUAUGGAAAAGACCCACCGAUGUGUUCCCGGUGGCAGUCUCUGCUAUGUGUUUUUGGAAAAGUUGACAAAGAGUCUGCUUUGGCUUUGGGACUAAUGAAAAGCCUCCCAUAAACAGUUAGGUACAGCUGGUUGUUGACAGACCUGGAGCUGGAUCCAGGCCUCCUGCUCCCCACCCUGGAGUGGUAAUGCUCUGGCCCUCGUGGCACAGCUUGACGGGGAGUUCUCAGUGCGUCAGGACCAUCAGGGAUAAAUGCACGUCCAGAGCAUCAGUCAUCUCUCCUUAACAACAGCCGAAUGACCAGUUUCUGGAGAUAGUACUGUCUUCCAGAACUUAUCUGACUCUCAUGCCCAGUGUUGUACCCGUUUUUUCCUGCCUCCUCACACUGCUCCCCACAGCCCUUCCCCAUCUCCUGAACUCUCCUUGGGAUGUGGUGAGGAUACACCAUAGCUAUUACCUUAAUGCAUGCUUUCUUCAUUGGCCCAAAUUCAGAAUGUGUAAGGGAACUGAGUACACGUGGGAUGUCUCCACCCUUGGAAAGCCCCCCUUAGUCCUCACUGAGCCACACAGGUGAUGGAGGGAACAAGGGUACCUUUCUCACCACUGUGGGGCUUUGACAGCAGUAGUGAUGGCAUCCUUGGCUCUUAGAUUCCUGAACAUUUCACUUAAUGACCAGAGCCUUGGAAUGCCUCCAAGAGUGCCAGAGUGCCAGCUCCCACCCUGGUCUUAGAUAUUGAAGAGUCCCAGGUACUCCACCCACCUCUCACCUUGUGAACAUGGAUGCCCAUGUCACUGCCUGAGGAGUUAAGUCUGUAUGACACCCAGACCCCACAGUCACAUCACAUAAAUUAAGAAUCUUGCUGGGGCGCUAUCAUUGACAGUUUUAAAUCUCAGCUGGAGUAAAUUGUUAUUAACCUAUCUAGUUAUUGCUGAAAAUCGUAGUCAAACCCGUAGGUGAAAAGAGAAGGCUGUGGAUGCUGUCUUGCCAAAGAUCUCAGAGCUGAAUUGUUCAGAGCGAGGACCAGACUGGAACUGAUUCUGCUGCUACUGUGUUUUAGGUCAGACACUCAGGCCUGUUGGGUGAUUUGGGGCAGCUAACCCAGAUGUUGCCCCUGUGAAAGUCUCUGCAGCAACUACAUGGGCAUCUCUGUUUCACCCUGCUGCUUCGUCGUCCUUUUGCUUUGCAUCACAAAGGAAAAAAUCUACCCCUGUGUAGCCAGCGCUUCAAAUCCAACCCAAGCCAGAUCACGAAGCAGACUGAGCUGUGACGGCACCCACUGGGAGAUCCUUCUGGAGCCGUGUCAGUGGACAUGCCCUAGACAGGAGAGAGGACCUGCCUGAGUUCCCUGACUGAGAAUGUUAAUUGACCCUCUAGGGCCUUUGUUCGCUGGUGCAUCCUGUGGCAUCUUCUCACCUUGUUAAGGGCCCCUUGAUGAGUAAAAUCAUGAGCCUUUUUGGGAAGUUUGGGUAUACUAAGCUCCCAAAUCCUCUGAGUUGUUAGGGAACCUGAGCCCUGAGUAAUCCAUGCCUUUGGAGAAUAUACAUGUUUGAGCCUCGGUGUUUGUGAGAAAGUCAGAGAAGCAAGAGCAAGGAGGACAGACCUGCCAGGAUGUGGGAAUAAGAAAUUGCAUGCGCUGUCGGGUUUUUGGAUAAUAAACUGAAUCUCUCUCCCUUAAGUCUGUAGGAGGCGUCAGUGUUUUGCGCAUAGACAUAAAAUAACUGGGUAGCUUAUUUAAGUGAUUAGCCAAAGGGGUGUGUGUUUCAAAAGUUAAAGUCACACGCACACUAAAAUUAUAUACACGUACUUACCUGACUUCUUA